UAACACGUAGGGGACGAGCGUUGUCCGGAUUCAUUGGGCGUAAAGCGCGCGUAGGCGGCUCGGAAAGUCGGGCGUGAAAUGCCGGGGCUCAACCCCGGGACUGCGUCCGAUACUUCCGAGCUGGAGGUAGGUAGGGGAGAUCGGAAUUCCUGGUGUAGCGGUGAAAUGCGCAGAUAUCAGGAGGAACACCGGUGGCGAAGGCGGAUCUCUGGGCCUUACCUGACGCUGAGGCGCGAAAGCUAGGGGAGCGAACAGGAUUAGAUACCCUGGUAGUCCUAGCCGUAAACGUUGGGUGCUAGGUGUGGGCGGACAUCGACCCCGUCCGUGCCGAAGCUAACGCAUUAAGCACCCCGCCUGGGGAGUACGGCCGCAAGGCUA
rnacentral:rRNA from 1 species